rnacentral:tRNA from 1 species
GUCUCCGUAGUUCAAUGGAAGAACAAGGGACUCCUAAGCCCUAGAUCGUGGUUCAAUUCCACGUGGAGACACCA